GACGAACGCUGGCGGCGUGCCUAAUACAUGCCAGUUGAGCGAUGAAGCUUGGUGCUUGCACCAAUUUGAAGAGCAGCGAACGGGUGAGUAACGCGUGGGGAAUCUGCCUUUGAGCGGGGGACAACAUUUGGAAACGAAUGCUAAUACCGCAUAACAACUUUAAACAUAAGUUUUAAGUUUGAAAGAUGCAAUUGCAUCACUCAAAGAUGAUCCCGCGUUGUAUUAGCUAGUUGGUGAGGUAAAGGCUCACCAAGGCGAUGAUACAUAGCCGACCUGAGAGGGUGAUCGGCCACAUUGGGACUGAGACACGGCCCAAACUCCUACGGGAGGCAGCAGUAGGGAAUCUUCGGCAAUGGACGAAAGUCUGACCGAGCAACGCCGCGUGAGUGAAGAAGGUUUUCGGAUCGUAAAACUCUGUUGGUAGAGAAGAACGUUGGUGAGAGUGGAAAGCUCAUCAAGUGACGGUAACUACCCAGAAAGGGACGGCUAACUACGG
rnacentral:rRNA from 1 species